rnacentral:RNase_P_RNA from 1 species
UGAGUAAGCUGGAUGAUCGCGGGUACCGGGCCGAAAGGUGGUACCUGAGGAAAGUCCGAGCUCCGCAGGGCAAGGUGCUGGGUAACACCCAGUGGGGGCGACCCUAAGGAAAGUGCCACAGAAACAAACCGCCACAUUAGUGGUAAGGAUGGAACGGUGCGGUAAGAGCGCACCAGCGCCCGGGUGACCGGUCGGCUAGGUAAACCCCACCUGGAGCAAGACCAAAUAGAGGAGCAAUGGGGCGGCCCGUCCUGCUCCCGGGUAAGGUCGCAUGAGGCGUCAGGGUAACCGGCGUCCCAGAUAGAUGAUCAUCCAAGACAGAACUCGGCUUACAGGUUUACUCACGAC